GAUCGAGGAAAGCGCAAUCGAUCAAAGUCGAGAGGUGAAGGUUUUAGGGCUGCGAAAGCUUAGUGAUGUGAUCGACAUCAUCGUGAGGCAAUCGGCUUCGGAUUGGCUCCGCCACCUGCGUGAACAUCACGGCAGCUUUGAAUAUCUGUAAGUGUAUGUUUUGGCUAUGAAUUAUGUUGGAUAUGAGCAUAGCAAUUUGCACUCGAAGUCUUGAACACUAUCAAAUUUUCCCCUUUCUUCCUGUUCGUAUCAAAUUGAGAACUGUAAGGUUGAAUUUAUUAUAGUACUUUUAGAUUACGAUUAAUCACCUCUUCAUUCUCUUUCACUCGGUUCUUUUUUGAUUCAUUCAUAUAAAUUCUCAGUUUGUUAUUUAGGCACACCAAUCCUCAUGAGAGCCAAAUACGCAACAACCCGAUAUAACACCAGCAUCAGUGCCAAAGCCACAACCGAUAGCACUUGCCCAUCAAGCCCAACGCUCUUAAUAGCCGGAAAAUCCUCAACCAAACACGUCAAGUUACCACAUUUGUAAGUCUGCCCAUGCUCAUAUUGUGAAGCUAUCAACAACUUGUAAGUAUGUUGACUGAUGGAUAUGUAUUUGAUCCAAGAUAUGAAAUCAGGCACAUGUUGAACAUAGUAUCCACCUGCUAGUGUGAAUGAUAACAUGAUCACAGAUCCCAUAAUGGUGGCUGAUUUUUGGUUCAUAACUAGUGCUCCUACGGCUAACCCUAGCCCUUGUGAUGCCAACACGCUAAAAAGAAGUGUGAAUAGCGCAUACAAAAAACUUCCAAAAUCUGAUUUGAGCCCAGCCAUCCAGUAGGUUAUGAUGCAAAACAAUGUUGGUAGAACUAACUCCAUAGGAAGAUCUCCUAUUGUUCUUGAUAUAAAAUAAGAUGAAAGUCUAUACAUUCCUGAAGAUCGUUCUUUUCCUAGCAUUUGCCUUUCUUGAGGGAAUGUGAAAAUUGCUUGAAAUAAAGGAAAGAACCCCCAGAAUCCAGUGUAAAAGAAGAGCAAUCCUGACUGCAUAGUUUUCGAUUAAGAAACAUGUUAGAUUAUUAUUAUUAUUAUUAUUAUUAUUAUUAUUAUUAUUAUUUAUAAGUUAAAAGUGAUGACAAACAAGAGUAUAUAUUUAUAUUUUAUACCUGAUCUUGUAAGUGAGCCUUAUCAGAUUGCCACCAUAGCAAACCACAAAGGAAUGACACAGCUAUAACCUGACCGAUCUUGAGAGUGGAAAAGAAUUCAUGUUUCCUUUCUUUAACACCUCUUUUGAGUAAAACCAUGACUUGUUGCAACCAAGUCGUGCUCCAUCGUUCAUGCUUCUUGUUGUCUAAAACAUCGUUCUCAUCAUCAUUGAAUUCUACUACUUCAGCUUUUAAUUUCUCAUCAAGAUUCGACUUAUAAGCCAAAACCAACUUCUGCUUCACCGCAUUUUGAUCCCCAUAACUUGAAUUAUCCGGCGAUAUCCCUAAAAUAUUAACAACAUUUGUAGUAACUAUGCAAAUUCUUUAAAAAAAAAAAAAAAAAAAAAAAAAAAAAGGAAAUGUGUAUGUUCAACACCAAUGGUCAAGAGACAGUUACGUUCAGAACAUGAACUUGCCAGGUUCUGAACCUGAACUAAAAUGUCAUGACUAAAAUGUCAUGUCAGGUUCAGAACCUGGCAACCUGCCAGUAGAACUUGAACAAUAUUUUCAAUUUUUAUACCAUUUGCAAGAUCUAGCAAAAAGUCGGAAGGAUUCAUGGUGACCGAUGGCGAAAAUCCAAUAGUGUUAAAAUAAUCCAUAACUUCCGAUCCUUUACCAAAAAACAACGAAUUCCCUUCCGAUAACAACACCACCUUAUGAAACAUGUAAAAAAGCCUACUUGAAGGUUGAUGAAUCGUCAUAACAAUUGUUCUUCCACCUCUUGCUAAUUCCCAUAAAGUCAAAGCAAUCCUUUGAGCAGUUGUUGAAUCAAGCCCAGAUGUCGGCUCAUCCAAGAACAACAAACUAGGGUUUAUAAGCAUUUCUUGCCCGAUACUAACUCUUUUUCUCUCUCCACCCGACACCCCUCUUAAAUUCGGCCCACCGAUGAUAAUAUUCUUGCAUCUUGUUAACCUAAGUUGGUCGAUCACCGCUUCCGCAUGCGUGAUCUUUUCUUGAGUUGUGAGCUUUUUAGGCAAGCGGAGUAAGGCGGUGAAAACAAGGGUUUCGGUGACUGUUAAAUGAGGAUAUAGAAUGUCAUCUUGAGUGACAAAACCGGUGUACCGCUUCAUGAUACUUGAAAACGGUUUGCCAUUGUAGGUGAUGGUCCCGUCUAGCUUGCCACCUAGGCGGCCACCUAAUGCGGUUAAAAGGGUAGUUUUUCCACAUCCGGAUGGCCCUAACAUGGCUAACAUUUCUCCGGGCAACACCAUGCCGGUUAUUCCUUUGAGUAUCUGUUUCUCUGUAGGCUCGUGGUUUUUCUUUCUUUUUAUCCAUCCUUGUUUCUUGUUUUUGAUGGUGUAAACCACUUCUUGAAACUGUUCAAUUAAAUAAUCGGAAUAAUAAGUUUAUAACAUAUAAACACUUUUUUUUUCGAAAAAGGAUGAAAAAUGAACCUUUAGUGUAACCGGAUGAUCGACUUUGUUGAAGAUUGAUGGAGGGGAUGAGGUUUGAGCUGAUGAUUGAGCCUCUAUAUCUACCAUUUGGGUUGCCAUUUGAAUAUUUUUUUUCCUAAUUCUGAUUUACAAAUAAAAAAAUGGUAUAUGUUGUUAUUUACAUACAUACAUACAUGUGAUUCGUUAAUUGUAUGUUGGUGUAUUAUAUAGUAAGAGAACCGAAUUAAGGUGAAAUAAAAGUCAUGCAAUAGAGGUGUGCGGGUUUAUGGCACAUACCCUUGAUUUGGUGUAAGAGAAUAGAGAUGGAGAAGGAAGUCAUGCAAUAGACAUGUGCGUUUAUGAUGUGUUCCCAUGUAUUUGGGAUGAUUUGGUGUGAUAGUUUGUGUUGGGUGAAAUAUUUGUUUGUGUAAACAAAAUGUUUUUUUUUUGAAAGAGAAUGUUUGUUUGUAUUUGAUUCAGCAAUGUUUUUUUUUUAAAUGACAUUCAGUGUCACGUUUUUGUUAUGAUCAAAUGUGUAACAUUUUAUUUGUAACUUGUUUAACGGAUUGAAAUAUGAAUGAAUAUUCUGUUAAGGUAAGUUGCAUAAAUUGGGAAAAGAUAAAAACGAAAUAUGAUUGCAUAAAUUAUUGGUUAACAAAGUGAAAGAUUGUUGUUGUGUAAGUAUUUGAAAAUGGUAAACCGUGUCCAUGUCACAAGACCCAUCACAUUGGGUGUAAAUCAUAGAACAAAAUUAGCAAUACUUUGCCUUUGGGUAUGUACAACUUUGAAUCAUGGACCUCCUUUAUAGAAUUUCACAUGUAUACUCCAGUUCUCAUCUCAGCUCAGGGGUAAAAUUAAAAUCAUCUUGUCGUUAUUGUGGUUUUUUUAGAACUUAUCUUUUUAUGUUCCAAAUUUUUAUGAUAGUUUUGGAUUUUAAUGUGUUUAGGCUCUAGUUAUUGAUCUUCUGGAUGGUGCUCAAGAAAGAGUUACUAAUUCAUUGUCAUUGCUGAUGCCAUUCUGAUUGAUGUUUCAAGCUAGUAAAGUUCAUUGCUAAAUUUGGUGAUUAGUCAUUGUUCAUUUCUAUUCUUGGUAUGUUGUUUUUUGUUUGGAUUUUAUUGGUAUAAAUCUCAAAAUCCUGCUAAUUGUCUUCUAAUGGUGCUUUGUAUUAGUUCUUUUUUAUUUUAUUUUUAAAUAUUUAAUAUAUUAAUAAGUAAUAAAAAAAUUAUAUAUAAUAUAUGUGAUGCGGUGCAGUUUUUAUUUUUAUUUAUUUAUUUUUUUUGCGGUUUUUGAAAACUAAAAGCUGUACCGCACUGCAAGUUUGUAGUUUUUGAAAAACAGAAAAUCUCACCAUCGUUUCCGUUGCAGUUUCGGUUUAUUGGUUGCGGCUUAUGUGGUUUUUUCAGGUUUUUAGUUGCGGUACGGUUGGAAAUGUUGAACAUAGUCGGGAAUCGGUAAGGCUUGGUAUACACGACAUGAGGGUCUCGUAGUGAGGAAGGAGAUGGUUGACUUUCGUGGUGUAUACCAUGAAAGACCAUAGCCAAUAGCUUCUCUUCCUCUCUCUUUCUCUCAUUUCGUUGCAAGUACACCACCAAUGGUGUAAUGGUGUGGAAGGAGAUGACGAUGUGGUGGAGUUGUUUGGCGUGUCCUCAUACCCGAUGGCCUAAUAGAAGCUACUUAGAAGUUGUUUGAUAGUUGUUAGCUAGGUUAGAGCUGACUGAGCUAGAAGCCGAUUGGGUUAGAAGUUAUGAAUUAACUUCUGAUUGAAACUUGAUAUUUGAUUUUGCAUCCGAUUGGUAGUGCAAAAUAACUAUAUUUUUUAUAAUAAUUUCUUUAUGAUUUACCAUUUAACUUAUAACAUUAUAAAAAUAUACAAAGUUAUUGGUUUGAUAUAAAAACAUUCUCGAUUAGCCACACCCAUCAUCCUCUCGCAACUAUUACCACCUUCUUUGAAGGUUAACAACUAUGCAACAUACAACAGUUAGUACCUAAAUUAAACCGAAAUCAGUCCCAAUCUAUGCAUCAACCCACUAAUAUUAAUAACCAAACUAUAUGUAUCACUUACAGUUAGGGCCGGCAAUUCUUGACACGACACGCGACACGAUCCGUGACACGACACGAAAUAAAUGGGUUUGAGCUGAGUUUUUCAACCCGCCAACCCGUUUAUUAAACGGGUCAUAUAUGGGUUUCUCAAAAAAUAAAUGGGUUGACCUGCCAACCCGUUUAUAUUCUUAAUAAAAAAAAUUAUUUUAUUUUUAAAUGUAUUUAUGUAUCAACUAUUAAUAUUUAAUAAGUUUUAUAUAAUAUAUACCAUUGAUUAGACCAUUUGACUGUUUUGAUAUUUUGACUCGUGGUGGAUGGUCUAAGGUUAUAAGUCGUAACCUAUAAGGCUAAGUCUGUAACAUGUUUCUAUGAAUGUUUUUAAUUUUCAUUUGGAUGUUUAAAACUUAAAUGUCUAAAAUUCGGACCCACGAACCCGCCAACCUGUAACCCGUAAAAAUAAAUGGGUUGGUGGGUCAUAUAUGAGUUUAUGUUCCAAACUCGCCAACCCGUUACCCGACAACCCGUGACCUGUAUAUUUAAAUGGGUCGUGUUUGGGUUGACAUAUUUUGACCCGCCAACCUGCGACACGCCAACCCGAACACGACACGAUUGCCAGACCUACUUACAGGAAAUCACAAUUAUACUUGUGAAUGAUUCAUAAACCGGAAACUUUCAUCUUAUAUGUAAUUAAUGUUAAAAGACUAAUUCAAAGCUAAGAAGAUUAGAAGAUUGGAGUGGGAAUUGAUUCACCUUUAGGUAGACUUAUAGUCAUAUGUUGAGUGUUAUCUCUUGUGUACGUAUGUAUAUUUGUUUAAAUAAUAAACCAAACAAACAUAAUCUUGUUGUUUUUUUAACAGUUGGUUAGUGGUUAGAACAACAAUUAAACUUAUCAAUCUAGAACUCAAACUUUAGUCAUUUAAGCUUAACGAACUCCAAGGCACUUUAAAGUCCAAAUUCAAAGAGUAUCCGCCAUUCAAGCAUUAAUACUUAUGAAAUCCUAAGAAAAUUUUCCAAAAUAUGAUUCGUUUAAAAAUGUGCAAUAGAAAACAGUGAUUUUGUGAAAUUAGUUAAUUGAGUGAAAACAGAAGGAUAAGAAGAAACCAAUAGAAUUAGAACAAAUUGACAAGCAGUCGAUAGCAAUCAACAAAGUUGAAAGCGAUUUUGAUUUUGUGAAAUUGACUCAGUCAAUAGCCAACAUCUUGUUAUUAAAAAUUAAAAAAAAAACAAACAAACAAACAAACAAACUCACCUAAGGAAGACGACGGCGCGGAGGAGGAAUUCGACAGCAUCGUCGGCGUUGCUGAAACAGCGAACGGAGUGCCUAAGCGAUGGUGGCCGGUCUCGUUUCAACGGCCAUUUGAGGAAGAAGGAUGGAGUGUAAAUGUUAUCCGGGUAUUAAAGGGCUUUGGUGGCUAAGGAAGAAGAUGGUUGUGAUGUUGAUCAAAGGGAAAAAGGAGCAGAUGAUGGAAAUGAUCUAAUCCAACACUUUUUUUUCUUGGACUGAGUCGGAGGAUUUCAAAAGGUUGUGGAUCUAGUUAGAGGCUAUAUUUGAUAGCAUCAAACACACAAGAAUUAGAUCAUGUCAGCAAAAACUUUUUACUGGACUAUGUCAGAAUUAAAAGACAAUCAAACAACCCUGCAAACAUUGUACAUUAUUGUUGGAAUUGUUUUAUAUCAACAUUUUAAUUUACUAUCAAAUAUUAUUUAUAGCUCAUGAGAAUGAUAUAUUUAUUUUCAACAACAUACUUUCUCUCACUUCAAUUUUAUUAAGAGAACAAUGAUAAAGUUCUAUGUGGUUUGCUAUUCUACUUAGAGUUUAAGAAGUUUUCAAAUAAAAAAUGCCUUUUUUUUAGAAUGUUUUAUUAUAGUUUGGUCUCGUAACUUAAACCGUUAGUGUUAUUAUGUUGAGUGAUGCUAAUAUGACUCUUUUACUUUCAUUUUGUAUUUCUUUUAUGUAACUGAGUGAGCUCAAUUUUUGUCCCACCUUUUCAAGAACAUCCCUAAAUCUAUGCCCCUUUGUAUUCGUUUAAUUGCCUAUGUUGUCAUCGAUGAUUGUAUGGUUCAUAUCAAAUCUAUAAAAUAUUUGUAGGGUUCUCUUUAGAAAAAAAUAAAAUCGAACGAUGAAAUGGAAAGAUAUGAUAACAUUAUUGUAACGACCCAAUUUUCACGACCAAAAAUUUCAUUUUUGUUUAAGUAAUUUGCACAACAUUUGUAUCAAAAUAUCAAUCGAUCAUAUCAUUUAAUAAAAGCAUGUCUCGUAUCUGAAAACCGAAUCGUAAAAACAUAAUAAUGUUAGAGUACAAAUCCCAGAAUAACUCAUAGUGUGGAAAACAAAGAGUGUGCGUAUGAUGUGCCGCUACCGCGCCAGCUCCUUCCCCUUCGCUGAAGAGGUACCUGAAACCAAAACUGUAAACUGUAAACAUGAAGCUUAGUGAGUUCCCCCAUUGUACCACAUACCAUACAAUCACAUAGCAUACAUAAUGUCGGGCAAUUCUGGGGUGCCCGACCUACCCGGUAUGUCCAUUCUGGGGUGCCGACCUACCCGUGUCAAGCUAUUCUGGGGUGCUGACCUACCCGUCGGUCCUAACAACCGACCCUCGGGGACUAAUCCACCCCUAUUGUUGCUAUCACAUAUAUCAUAACAUGAACAUACUAUCAGACAUAUUUGGGGUGUCCGAACUACCCUUCGGUCCUAACAUAUAUCAUAACAUGAACAUAAUGUGUAUGUUCAACACCAACGGUCAAGGGACAGUUACGUUCAGAAAAUGAACUUGUCAGGUUCUGAACCUGAACUGAAAUGUCAUGCCAGGUUCAGAACCUGGCAAUAUGCCAAUAUGUUCUUUGUUGGACUCCUAUCCUAGGGUUGUAAUGAAACAAUAUUUUCAAUGUUUAUACCAUUUGCAAGAUCUAGCAAAAAGUCGGAAGGAUUCAUGGCGACCGAUGGCGAAAAUCCAAUACUGUUAAAAUAAUCCAUAACUUCCGAUCCUUUACCAAAAAACAACGAAUUCCCUUCCGAUAACAACAACACCUUAUGAAACAUGUAAAAAAGCCUACUUGAAGGUUGAUGAAUCGUCAUAACAAUUGUUCUUCCGCCUCUUGCUAACUCCCAUAAAGUCAAAGCAAUCCUUUGAGCAGUUGUUGAAUCAAGCCCAGAUGUUGGCUCAUCCAAGAACAACAAACUAGGGUUUAUAAGCAUUUCUUGCCCGAUACUAACUCUUUUUCUCUCUCCACCCGACACCCCUCUUAAAUUCGGCCCACCGAUGAUAAUAUUCUUGCAUCUUGUUAACCUAAGUUGGUCGAUCACCGCUUCCGCAUGCGUGAUCUUUUCUUGAGUUGUGAGCUUUUUAGGCAAGCGGAGUAAGGCAAUGAAAACAAGGGUUUCGGUGACUGUUAAAUGAGGAUAUAGAAUGUCAUCUUGAGUGACAAAACCGGUGUACCGCUUCAUGAUACUUGAAAACGGUUUGCCAUUGUAGGUGAUGGUCCCGUCUAGCUUGCCACCUAGGCGGCCACCUAAUGCGGUUAAAAGGGUAGUUUUUCCACAUCCGGAUGGCCCUAACAUGGCUAACAUUUCUCCGGGCAACACCAUGCCGGUUAUUCCUUUGAGUAUAUGUUUCUCUGUAGGCUCGUGGUUUUUCUUUCUUUUUAUCCAUCCUUGUUUCUUGUUUUUGAUGGUGUAAACCACUUCUUGAAACUGUUCAAUUAAAUAAUCGGAAUAAUAAGUUUAUAACAUAUAAACACUUUUUUUUUCGAAAAAGGAUGAAAAAUGAACCUUUAGUGUAACCGGAUGAUCGACUUUGUUGAAGAUUGAUGGAGGGGAUGAGGUUUGAGCUGAUGAUUGAGCCUCUAUAUCUACCAUUUGGGUUGCCAUUUGAAUAUUUUUUUUCCUAAUUCUGAUUUACAAAUAAAAAAAUGGUAUAUGUUGUUAUUUACAUACAUACAUACAUGUGAUUCGUUAAUUGUAUGUUGGUGUAUUAUAUAGUAAGAGAACCGAAUUAAGGUGAAAUAAAAGUCAUGCAAUAGAGGUGUGCGGGUUUAUGGCACAUACCCUUGAUUUGGUGUAAGAGAAUAGAGAUGGAGAAGGAAGUCAUGCAAUAGACAUGUGCGUUUAUGAUGUGUUCCCAUGUAUUUGGGAUGAUUUGGUGUGAUAGUUUGUGUUGGGUGAAAUAUUUGUUUGUGUAAACAAAAUGUUUUUUUUUUGAAAGAGAAUGUUUGUUUGUAUUUGAUUCAGCAAUGUUUUUUUUUUAAAUGACAUUCAGUGUCACGUUUUUGUUAUGAUCAAAUGUGUAACAUUUUAUUUGUAACUUGUUUAACGGAUUGAAAUAUGAAUGAAUAAUCUGUCAAGGUAAGUUGCAUAAACUGGGAAAAGAUAAAAACGAAAUACGAUUGCAUAAAUUAUUGGUUAACAAAGUGAAAGAUUGUUGUUGUGUAAGUAUUUGAAAAUGGUAAACCGUGUCCAUGUCACAAGACCCAUCACAUUGGGUGUAAAUCAUAGAACAAAAUUAGCAAUACUUUGCCUUUGGGUAUGUACAACUUUGAAUCAUGGACCUCCUUUAUAGAAUUUCACAUGUAUACUCCAGUUCUCAUCUCAGCUCAGGGGUAAAAUUAAAAUCAUCUUGUCGUUAUUGUGGUUUUUUUAGAACUUAUCUUUUUAUGUUCCAAAUUUUUAUGAUAGUUUUGGAUUUUAAUGUGUUUAGGCUCUAGUUAUUGAUCUUCUGGAUGGUGCUCAAGAAAGAGUUACUAAUUCAUUGUCAUUGCUGAUGCCAUUCUGAUUGAUGUUUCAAGCUAGUAAAGUUCAUUGCUAAAUUUGGUGAUUAGUCAUUGUUCAUUUCUAUUCUUGGUAUGUUGUUUUUUGUUUGGAUUUUAUUGGUAUAAAUCUCAAAAUCCUGCUAAUUGUCUUCUAAUGGUGCUUUGUAUUAGUUCUUUUUUAUUUUAUUUUUAAAUAUUUAAUAUAUUAAUAAGUAAUAAAAAAAUUAUAUAUAAUAUAUGUGAUGCGGUGCAGUUUUUAUUUUUUUAUUUUUUGCGGUUUUUGAAAACUAAAAACUGUACCGCACUGCAAGUUUGUAGUUUUUGAAAAACAGAAAAUCUCACCAUCGUUUCCGUUGCAGUUUCGGUUUAUUGGUUGCGGCUUAUGUGGUUUUUUCAGGUUUUUAGUUGCGGUACGGUUGGAAAUGUUGAACAUAGUCGGGAAUCGGUAAGGCUUGGUAUACACGACAUGAGGGUCUCGUAGUGAGGAAGGAGAUGGUUGACUUUCGUGGUGUAUACCAUGAAAGACCAUAGCCAAUAGCUUCUCUUCCUCACUCUUUCUCUCAUUUCGUUGCAAGUACGCCACCAAUGGUGUAAUGGUGUGGAAGGAGAUGACGAUGUGGUGGAGCUGUUUGGCGUGUCCUCAUACCCGAUGGCCUAAUAGAAGCUACUUAGAAGUUGUUUGAUAGUUGUUAGUUAGGUUAGAGCUGACUGAGCUAAAAGCCAAUUGGGUUAGAAGUUAUGAGUUAACUUCUAAUUGAAACUUGAUGUUUGAUUUUGCAUCUGAUUGGUAGUGCAAAAUAACUAUAUUAUCCUUAGACAACAUUUUUUAUAAUAAUUUCUUUAUGAUUUACCAUUUAA
rnacentral:lncRNA from 1 species